rnacentral:rRNA from 1 species
GACGAACGCUGGCGGCGUGCUUAACACAUGCAAGUCGAACGGAAAGGCCCUGCUUUUGUGGGGUGCUCGAGUGGCGAACGGGUGAGUAACACGUGAGUAACCUGCCCUUGACUUUGGGAUAACUUCAGGAAACUGGGGCUAAUACCGGAUAGGAGCUCCUGCUGCAUGGUGGGGGUUGGAAAGUUUCGGCGGUUGGGGAUGGACUCGCGGCUUAUCAGCUUGUUGGUGGGGUAGUGGCUUACCAAGGCUUUGACGGGUAGCCGGCCUGAGAGGGUGACCGGCCACAUUGGGACUGCGAUACGGCGCAGACUCCUACGGGAGGCAGCAGUGGGGAAUAUUGCACAAUGGGCGGAAGCCUGAUGCAGCAACGCCGCGUGCGGGAUGACGGCCUUCGGGUUGUAAACCGCUUUCGCCGGUGACGAAGCGUGAGUGACGGUAAUGGGUAAAGAAGCACCGGCUAACUACGUG